GCACUAGUUCAUUCAUGAUUCAGGAGGAAUGAAGCGCUACAAGUGCAUGUUGCUCGGAGGCGCGUGAUGGUUGAUUCUGCUGUUUGUACCUAAUUUCGCAACGGCAAACACCUCAUUAAGCUGCAGGUGUGGCUCUCUUGCUGGAGAUAGACAUUAUGAGACGCGCUAUACAGAUGAACGGCGACAACAAGCUGAAACCCCUGGUCCCCAUCUACUCUUAUUGUAUGGAAGAGAGCCGCUUGGACAAUCUGCUAAAUGUCUCCAUUGGUGUUCUACAGAAGAAAGCAAGACAUAUAGGCUUGGUCAAUUUAAUUUUUUGGGUGAACUAUCCUUUUAAGGGUUAGGUGCUGUGUACUGUAACUGUACCCCAAUUUGACAAAAUAGAUAAACAAAUGCAUUUUUCUAAACCAGUGAUGUUCCAAUGAAACAUAAGAGAGAGGAUGACAAAUAUCAGUAAACAAGAUCCACGCUCUUUCUGUUCAAUGACAAUUGGGGUAUAAUAUAGCCGUUUUCUUUAUCUUCAGUAAAAGUAAAAGAGAAUUAACAGAAAGGAAACUUCACAUUAUACAUAAACCAUUACAAAUAAAAAUAUCAUGUUCGACUCCGAGUGUCCAGAGUCCUAGUGCUUUAAGAAAUGUGUUUGGAGUUCAUGAACGAUGCACGGAGGAGAAAAAGAAAAUGGAAAAAAAGAGAAAUGUCUCUUUUCCUUCAUAUCAGCAGUUCACCGUGACUACUUUCUCAGAGAUAUAUCAGCGUCAGAACAGGAUUAAUUCAACAAAAAAACAAGAGCAAAUAAAAUAAAAAAGGAGAACAAAAAACAGAAUAUUGAACAUAAUGAUUAGAUCUAAAUACCUACCCAGCUAAAUAUAAUGCUUUAUCAAGCGCAGUUUCCAUACGAUCAUAAAAAAAAAAUCCAACUGGAGGAAAAUAAUAAAUUAUACUGUACAUAACUUACUAAACUUAGGAAAUGCUGCCUAUUCUUAUAAUUAUUGUUAAUAAUAUUAUUACACUAGAGGCAGUUUUAAUGAAAGUAAAAUACAGUAUUUGCAAAUACAAACUAAAACAUUAACAUGCAGAGUCUCAAACGGCUCCUCCCAACCUCGACAGCAGAGUGACGUUGACAUGGAGGCAAAACACAAAUACAAACAACAGACGGGACUGGACCUCAUUGAACCGAAUAAACUAGACAAAGACGAACACGCAAAAUGCGAUUGGUCAUCACUUUGCUAGCGCUACAGGCGUCAGAGUACCUUUAACAUUUAUCGUUAGAAAAAAUCUCAAGUAGGCCAGAAAAUUCAAAUAUGUUUUUAGUUAUACGUGUGCGUUCUAAAUAUAUAAUCUGAUAUGUGUUGUGAGUGGACGGCCUUUGGGUAGAUGUAAAGGGGAAAAAACACCGAUAUUAAUGGCUGGAGUCUGGCUGCUGUUCACCUAACAGCUUGUGUCUCUCUCAUCCAGCUGCCCGCUUAUGCCCACACCAGGCCAGAGAGAGGCUGGCAGAGUAGUUACAGUUAGGGCAGCCGUCAAUCAAACGCCAUCGACGUGCCAACAGCAGCCACACAGGUGCAGUAAGAUGGAGUGGGUCAGUCAGAGCCACACAGAGAGCGGAUGACUGAUGGCACGGCUCGGAGACUCCUCUGCACUGAUGAACCGAGUGAUAGAUGGAAAAAAAGAGGAGAGAGAGAGACAAAACACAAAUCCCUGCGGAGGAGUAGAGAUGUGAGAUAUAUUAAGUGGCGCUGAUUGAAACGCACACUCGUGCUUGUCUUGUACGGGGAUCCCUGGUUUCUCUCAGAGCUGUCCUUUGAAAACAGAGCACCGGGGCUUGUGGGAACUCUAUUCUCCUCCUUCAAUACGCCAUUCAAGCACAGACUCUCCUCUAGAGAGCUUUUCUCUCCGCGUCUCCUCUUUUCCUUUCAGAAUGAGGUGCCGUGCUCCCUGCACCCAGCGAUGACAGAAACAGGUUAUUCAGGGAGACAAUAAGAAUGACGGGAAAAAAUUAAAGGAAGAAUGAAAAAAAAAAAAUUAUCAAACGAAUGAUCGGACUAAAAAUAAAAACAAAAAGAAUGAUAAAUGCAGCGUUAUUAUUAAACAUUUGGCUUCCUUCAGCACAGAUCUGGCUGCUAGCAUGAAUCGUACGUAUUGAAUAUUAAUGUUUUUUCCUUUUGUAAAUGUUCACAUGACCAGCACAUCAACCGUCUACAUGUAAUAAAAAUUAACUUAAAACCUAGCAAAAUGCGCAUUCAUCUACACACACACACAAACAUAAAGAAAUGUGCACGCGUACAAUAAUUCUGCUCGAGGCUUCACUCUCCACGAAAACCAUCGCCAUGUCAGCUGUUCACCAAACACAAAGUUUGUGCUAUCUCGUAAAGUUUGUCUCCACACCUGAGAGAGACGUCAACAUCCAAAGCUCCCACAGAAGAGGAAAAAGGAACAGUAAAAGCGUGUCAAGAGGAAAAGAUGUGAGGAAGGAGGGAUUGUCUGUCAUCCAGCGAUGUCCGAACUCCUGAGUGAAGGGACGCGAAUCCUCCCUUCCAUCCUUACGUCCAACAGAAAAGACAUCUUUGAGUGAGAGGACAUGGGCGUGAGGAUGAUAGAAAGAGAUUCAGCUAAUAGCACGCCGAAGAGAAAAAAAAAUAGAAAAUGUUUGUCAUUUUACUCCUGUCAGGUGCUUUACGGUGAAGAGGAAAAUAAAUGUCUUUUUUCUCUAUUAAAACUGUAGCACAAAAACAACAAAAUCACAUUCACAAGCCACUUGUUGGCACUGUGUACCUGAGUGAGAAUAUUAUAGAACCAAGAAAAAAAGUUGUUUAAAAGUGUCUCUUUAGAAACAAUCAGGUCCACCAUUUUAAAGUGUCUAUGACGGGUCGACUGACAGGUCCUUAGUAAUAAAUGUCUCGACAACAAACCGGUUAAGGGUAAUUUUUCCUAUGUCUCAAGGCAAGUGUUAUACUUCCUUUACAAGACCCUCCUUUCCAUGUAACAGUCACUUUGAUUGACAGGUCCUGUGC